AUGUAUUCCUCACAUACACUCCGGUUCCUGCGCUCCUGACGCGCCCGGCUGAAGGCCGCUCGUGACGUUUUUCAACG
rnacentral:sRNA from 1 species